rnacentral:rRNA from 1 species
GUGUCAGCAGCCGCGGUAAUACGUAGGGUGCGAGCGUUAAUCGGAAUUACUGGGCGUAAAGCGUGCGCAGGCGGUUUUGUAAGUCAGAUGUGAAAUCCCCGGGCUUAACCUGGGAACUGCGUUUGAAACUACAAGGCUAGAGUGUAGCAGAGGGGGGUGGAAUUCCACGUGUAGCAGUGAAAUGCGUAGAGAUGUGGAGGAACACCGAUGGCGAAGGCAGCCCCCUGGGUUAACACUGACGCUCAGGCACGAAAGCGUGGGGAGCAAACAGGAUUAGAUACCCUGGUAGUCCACGCCCUGAACUAUGUCAACUAGUUGUCGGGCCUUAACGGGCUUGGUAACGCAGCUAACGCGUGAAGUUGACCGCCUGGGGAGUACGGUCGCAAGAUUAAAACUUAAAUGAAUUGACGGGG